GGACCAGGACAGGCUGCUGCGGGCCAGGGGCAAACACGUCAGGCCUGGCCCCCAGUCCGCUGCUGCCCCUCCCUUUCACCUUCCAUCCAGCACUAAGGGAGUCUGGCCACGGCCUAAUAUAGGAGGGCUUGUGGAAGGAGACACCCACCCCCUCUUUCUGCACCUCUCCCCUCUUCCAUGCCACCCCCAGGCCAGGAGCCACCACAGCCCUGUCUGUGACUCUCAGCUCCCGAGGCUGGGCUCUUCCCCAGGGAAGCUGCAUGACCAUGGCCACAUACAGGAGGUAGGAGACAGAGGCCUCCACGGUGGACGAUCGUGGCGUGAAGUCCACGUUGACCACGUUGUCGGUGCUGGGGGAGCGGAUGAAGGCCAGGGACCCGCGGCGCUCUCCCUGUGGUCAGGAAGCAGCCCGGAGACCCUAAAACUCCAUUGGCCUCAUGUCCAGAACUGAAUCAGGUUCAGCUCGUGGAAGACAUUCAGGAUCCGGUCUCGAGACUUCUGGGCCGACCGUCUCAUGAGGACCCUGCUGAGGAACUUCCUGUCGAAGUGGGACCACCUGUAGGGACAGACCUUGGGUGUGAGCCUCAGGCGCGUUUAAAAUGAGGGAAGCAGCCCCUGCCACACGCCCAGGCCGUCCGCCGUUCUCCCGCCUGUCCUGUUGGAUGGAGGCCGUUAGACGCAUAUGAAACUGCAUGCCGCCUCCUCCAGAGGGUGGCUCAGGACACGGUGGGUGUCAGGCCUGGUCAGGCAAGGGGGCUUUGGC
rnacentral:lncRNA from 1 species